ACUCCUACGGGAGGCAGCAGUGGGGAAUAUUGCACAAUGGGGGAAACCCUGAUGCAGCCAUGCCGCGUGUGUGAAGAAGGCCUUCGGGUUGUAAAGCACUUUCAGUAGGGAGGAAGGUAGUGUAGUUAACACCUGCAUUAUUUGACGUUACCUACAGAAGAAGCACCGGCUAACUCCGUGCCAGCAGCCGCGGUAAUACGGAGGGUGCGAGCGUUAAUCGGAAUUACUGGGCGUAAAGCGCAUGCAGGCGGCCUGUUAAGUCAGAUGUGAAAGCCCGGGGCUUAACCUCGGAAUUGCAUUUGAAACUGGCAGACUAGAGUCUUGUAGAGGGGGGUAGAAUUUCAGGUGUAGCGGUGAAAUGCGUAGAGAUCUGAAGGAAUACCAGUGGCGAAGGCGGCCCCCUGGACAAAGACUGACGCUCAGAUGCGAAAGCGUGGGGAGCAAACAGGAUUAGAUACCCUGGUAGGAUAGCG
rnacentral:rRNA from 1 species